rnacentral:rRNA from 6 species
CGGGAACUCAAAGGAGACUGCCAGUGAUAAACUGGAGGAAGGUGGGGAUGACGUCAAGUCAUCAUGGCCCUUACGACCAGGGCUACACACGUGCUACAAUGGCGCAUACAAAGAGAAGCGACCUCGCGAGAGCAAGCGGACCUCAUAAAGUGCGUCGUAGUCCGGAUUGGAGUCUGCAACUCGACUCCAUGAAGUCGGAAUCGCUAGUAAUCGUGGAUCAGAAUGCCACGGUGAAUACGUUCCCGGGCCUUGUACACACCGCCCGUCACACCAUGGGAGUGGGUUGCAAAAGAAGUAGGUAGCUUAACCUUCGGGAGGGCGCUUACCACUUUGUGAUUCAUGACUGGGGUGAAGUCGUAACAAGGUAACCGUAGGGGAACCUGCGGUUGGA